rnacentral:rRNA from 1 species
UACGUAGGGGGCUAGCGUUGUCCGGAAUCAUUGGGCGUAAAGAGCGCGUAGGCGGCCCGGUAAGUCCGCUGUAAAAGUCCAGGGCUCAACCCUGGAAAGCCGGUGGAUACUGUCGGGCUCGAGUCCGGAAGAGGCGAGUGGAAUUCCUGGUGUAGCGGUGGAAUGCGCAGAUAUUGGGAAGAACACCUGAGGCGAAGGCGGGUUGCUGGGCCGACACUGACGCUGAGGCGCGAAAGCCAGGGGAGCGAACGGG